UGACUGGUUGUUUUGUUUUGAGACAGGGA
rnacentral:piRNA from 1 species